rnacentral:rRNA from 1 species
UACGUAGGGGGCAAGCGUUGUCCGGAAUCAUUGGGCGUAAAGAGCGCGUAGGCGGCCCUGUAAGUCCGCUGUGAAAGUCAAGGGCUCAACCCUUGAAUGCCGGUGGAUACUGCAGGGCUAGAGUCCGGAAGAGGCGAGUGGAGUUCCUGGUGUAGCGGUGAAAUGCGCAGAUAUCAGGAGGAACACCGAUGGCGAAGGCAGCUCGCUGGGACGGUACUGACGCUGAGGCGCGAAAGCGUGGGGAGCAAACAGG